AUUGAACGCUAGCGGGAUGCCUUACACAUGCAAGUCGAACGGAGUGGCGAACGGGUGAGUAAUGUAUCGGAACGUGCCCAGUAGCGGGGGAUAACUACGCGAAAGCGUAGCUAAUACCGCAUACUAUUAGAGCGGCAGAGAUCGGCUUAGCUAGUUGGUGGGGUAACGGCACCCCAAGGCGACGAUCCGUAGCUGUUUGGAGGGGACGACCAGCAACACUGGGCCGGAGACACGGCCCAGACUCCUACGUGAGGCAGCAGUGGGGAAUUUUGGACGAUGGGGGAAACCCUGAUCCAGCCAUCCCGCGUGUACGAUGAAGGCCUUCGGGUUGUAAAGCACUUUUGGCAGGAAAGCGGUACCUGCAGAAUAAGCACCGGCUAACUACGUGCCAGCAGCCGCGGUAAUAC
rnacentral:rRNA from 1 species